rnacentral:lncRNA from 1 species
GUAAGCUCCGUUUUUCCGUGAUUUUUUGGCCCCCCGAGGGCCCUAGGGUUGUUUUCUCGCAGGGACCGAUGCGAGUGUGGCCGAAAACAGCCAACCCGAGGUGAAUCGCCACCGCCAGCGGCGGUGCCGUCGCCGGAGCACGGCGGAGCCGCCGUGCCGGAGUUGCGAUAUUGGCCGAAAGGGGCCCUGGGCCUAAUUUGGGAUUUUUUGGAACACGUGCAGGUACCAGUAGUGCGUUUCAGUUCUCCGAGAAAAAUUCAGAGAAAAUUAAGGACAGCUUGUAGGCGCACUGUGAAGCCGUGUUCGGACCCCGAAACGUGUAAGGACCCCUCACCCUAUUUCCUAUCACGGUUUUAAAGUUCAAUAAAUGAUAAAACGGUAUUUUAUGAAUCAACGAAUGUGUGAAAUUGCUUAAGGUCGCUAAUGGAGCCCGAGUCUAGUGUGU